CUUCUUGCUGGGACUCUUCUCAUAGCAGCCUCUGACAUAGUGUCUGCUGAAGCUUCAUGGAUUGUUGAUUGGAACUAGAUAUUCGGAGGUCAAGGUCAACUAUGAACUAAAAAAUAGAUUCCCCACCAGAAACUAAUCUAGCACUUUCUGUAUGUGAUGAUUAAACACCCCCAUGGCGGAACUGUCUCAACUUUUAAUGCACCACCAUUUUGUUGCUAAAGUAUCUACCAUGAUGGCAAUGUUCCAAUGACAUCAGCAUCUUACAGCCCAUGUUCCUGCUCAAGCCUCCUCAGCACUAGGACAGCGACUGGCUUCUAUGCCUUUGAUGCACAUUGAAAAAGCCUGUAUCUACACUUGCUUCACACCUCCCUUGUUUGACUCAUGGAUCUCUGAGAGAUCUUUUAAAUGUCUGACUGAAAAAUGACAGUUGCAGACGCACGAAUGAGAUCAAUCCAGAUUAGUAAAGUCUGGCCCAGAAGAUGAGACCUACUCCAAUGAAGACAGCUCAAAUUGCCAGCCCAGAAAUUGUGAGUGAAAUAAAAGUUGUUAUAUACGCUGUUACGAUCAUGGGUUCUCCAGAGAAGGAAGCAGGAUAUGUCUAUGAGAGGCAGAGAUGUAUUUUAAUGAAUUGGCCCGCACUCUCGUGGGACUGGGAGGCUCGUAGGCCAGAGAGCCUGAUUCUGCAUCAUCUGCAGCCCAGAGACUGUCUGGAGGCAGGAUUCCCUUUCUGCAGGGACCUCCGGCUUUCUUUCUCUUAAGGCCUUCAACGAUUUAGGUGAAGUCCACUCACAUUAUAUGUAGAAAAGGGUAAGCCUCUGUUCUACAUAUCUAUUAACAUUUCAGUGUUAAUCUCAUCUAACAAAUACCUUCGCAGAAAUAUUUACACUGGGUGUUUGGCCUGAUAUCUGGGUUUGCAGCCUAGCCAAGUCAGCACAAAAUUACCCGUGACAACCACCAAGUUUAGGAUGGCGUAUUAUGGGUCAAGAGCGUCUGGUAUACUUUGUAAGCAUCAUCUCCGCUGGCUUUUCAACCCUGCAUACUCAGCUGUCUUAAGAAUUUUUUGGCAAAAUUUUGCAAAAUAUAGAAAUUUUGAAAAGCAAAAUUGUUUUUCUCUGUGAAAUUUUAAGCUUUUAAGAUAUAUGAAUGUAGCAAGUGGUGUGAAAAUAUUGGCAGUAGUUUUCUAUAAACACUUUCUCUUUGUGACUGCAGCUGGAUGGUGCAUAUAUAUGCUCAGGAGUGAAUCAAGGCAAAUAGGUGUCUUGCCUGGAGGAUGGCUUUGAUUGUUGGGUAGAGAGUUUUUAGGUGCUCCUCUAUCAGUCGUUGGCAAAUGUUAACUGACUUUCUCACCUGGUACAUACUGGACUGUGUGCUAGACAUCCAGUCUCAACAUCAAUGUCUGUUCUGUGGGUGUAACACAAAGCUAGGGUAUCCUUUUCCUUUAGGAUUGGAAUAAUUUCCCUAAAGCAAUUUGCUCUUUUUCAUGUUCUGUCUCUAUUCUGUGUAUUUAAGUACUUUCACCAGAAUAAUGUGUGCUGGCUGUUCCCAGGUAGGAAAUCACCUGCUCCUUUCCAGUCCCAGCUCCACACGCAGUGUAGAAACGAACGGAGCCACCACAGCACUCUGUGCUAGUUUUCUUCCUUCAUUUUGUCCACAGAUCUCUUGAGGCAAGGAUUGCAAGGAGUGUGUUGUGUGUCUGCAUUUUAGCAGCAUAAAAGAGUUUAAAAGCAUUCCAGUAUGGGUAUUUCCCAUGAUCCUGAUUAAAAGAAUAAUUGGAUGAAAGUGCUUCUCACUUGAGAUCUGCAAAGCUCUCCAAACACAGCUAGAGAUUGGCUUCUGACUUGUCUUCCAUCCUGAAUAAGGCAGUCUGCCCUCCUCCUUGUAAAUUUCCCGUCUGACUGCAAACAUUCUAAGUACAUCCUAGUAUUGUGUGGAUAAAACUGAUGUUAAAAGUUGAUAUAAUCCUAGUAAGUGCCAUUUACAGGAGCCUUAUUACACUGGCUAGCCAACUUGUAAACAUUCUCUAAUUUAAAACUUAUGACAAUCAUGUAAGUUAGGGACCAGAUUAAGAAAACCGAGGCAAAGAGAUUUACUUAAUAAAGGCUUUGCCUAUGUAUACUCAGCUAGUAAGUGGCAGGCUGAGCAGGAAAAUUGAGCAUGUGAAGCCAAGCCCAUGGUCUGGAGCACUACACUCGAUAGCCCUGACCACACCACCAUUUGCGGGGUGAAUGCAGUCCUAGCUCAGUGGGUAAGAGGAGCCACGCUGAGAUUAUCUCUGACCAACCCUUUGUUUCUUUACUUACUAGCUCUUAUUCAAUGGCUCAGUAUCACAGUUUAUCCCUCUUUAAAAUUAGAAUAAUAAUACAGUCUUCUUCUUAGGGUUGUUACAGGAAUUAAGUUAAUACAGGUAUGGUGCUUAGAAUACCACCUGGCAUAUACUACAUGCUCCUUAAAUGUUAGCUCUUCUUAUAAAAUUGCAUGCAGCUUUUCCAGCAGGAUGUCAAGUUUUUGGUUUUCUGAGCAGCUAAAUCAAUAAUCUCAUAUUUUAGUUUCUAAUGACUUUUAGAUGAAGGUUGUAUCUGUGUGAUGCCGAAGGACAAAUAAAAUCAAUUUGGGAAUAAGUCAAGCCAAUCGUCAAUUCAAUGAAAAUAUUAGUUAAACUCAUGUUUGAUGUCCAGAGGGAAAAAAAUCACAAUUCUUUUUGUAACAAAGCUUUUUAAAAGUCCUUCAGUUGCUUGUAUGAUUAUGUUGAAAUCAGUCUUCAAUUUUUUUAGAAGGAAAAAGAAGCAAAACGGGUGGAGACGUUAAAGCUUUUCCAGUGUGGUUCACACUUCCACACUUCCAUGCUCUCCAAGGGUCUGCAGAAGGUCUUGGAGCAACACAUGGAGAGAUCAGAAUGAUGGGAGUCAGGCUUGGCUUUCCCCAGGAGUGUUCUAGGUUAUGGCACGAACAUCUCGGGAAGAUCAUCACUUGUUCUGUAAUUCAGCUUUUCCUACUGUAAUUAGUGGAUGUAACUUUUUUACCUGGCUGCUGCCUGAGGGGCCUCAGAGCACUCGCAAGGCACUGGGCGCCUUGUGGGUGCUUCGAAUGGACAGCACAGAGACACGGUGCCAGUUGGCACUGCCAUGUUUUUUUUUACGGGGUUCCGUGGAAUUAUAAAUGUCCCAUUUACAAUUUUGUUUUUAAAUGCACGUUCUUUCAAAAGGUUGUUACUUAACAACAUGUUUUCUAAAUGUUUUAGAAAACUGGGAAAAUACAGAAAGCAUAAAGAAUAAGAUAGAAAUCAUGCAGAAUCUCAUCAUCAUAUGGUGGUGCAUUUAUCUCUAGUAAAUGGUUGAAGUGUUUGCAUGGACUAGGGAUGUAUGAAGUUGAAAGACAAAAUGAAAACCUGAUUAUUCUUGUCAGCCCUAAGAAUGGUGUCAGCACUUAAAACAACUUAUUUUAUUUUAGCUUUAAAAAAGCAUGUUCUUUUGAACUGCAAUAAAGCUAGGAUUAUAUUAACCUGAAAGGGGAGUUGUAAGUCAAAACAAGGCUUUAUUAUAAAAAAUUAAAUAAUAAUAACACUGUGGAGAUAACUUGCAACUCUGUAUAAAGAAUUGUGAUUGUGCUACUUUGGGGCAGAGGGUUUCCUGUUUGGGUUGCGAUUUGCAGAGCUGGUGAUUUUUCAGGAUUGAUAAGUCUAAAAAAUCAAGGACGUGAGGCUCCUAGGCGGGUCACAGAGGCUCAGUGUCCCUAGACCACCCUCCCGCAGCCCUUGGGGAAAUGCCUGACUGACUGUGGGCUGUCACCCAAACUUUUAUCUAAACGAUGAGAUGCUCUUCCCACUAAUGGAUGAACGUGUAAGAACUGGCUGCCUGAAAC